rnacentral:rRNA from 1 species
UACGAAGGGGGCUAGCGUUGUUCGGAAUUACUGGGCGUAAAGCGCGCGUAGGCGGUGAUCUUUGUCAGAGGUGAAAGCCCGGGGCUCAACUCCGGAAUUGCCUUUGAAACGGGAUUGCUAGAGUCCGAGAGAGGAUGGCGGAAUUCCUAGUGUAGAGGUGAAAUUCGUAGAUAUUAGGAAGAACACCGGUGGCGAAGGCGGCCAUCUGGCUCGGUACUGACGCUCAGGCGCGAAAGCGUGGGGAGCAAACA